rnacentral:rRNA from 1 species
UGAGGAAUUUUCCGCAAUGGGCGAAAGCCUGACGGAGCAACGCCGCGUGCAGGAUGACGGCCUUCGGGUUGUAAACUGCUUUUAAUUGGGAAGAUUAUGACGGUACCAAUUGAAUAAGGAUCGGCUAACUACGUGCCAGCAGCCGCGGUAAUACGUAGGAUCCAAGCGUUAUCCGGAAUCACUGGGCGUAAAGCGUGCGUAGGCGGAUGCGUAAGUGAGAUGCGAAAUCCAGCGGCUCAACCGUUUGGACUGUAUUUCAUACUGCGCGACUAGAGGAUGGCAGAGGUCAGUGGAAUUGGUAGUGUAGCAGUGAAAUGCGUAGAUAUUACCAGGAACACCAAUGGCGAAGGCAGCUGACUGGGCCACACCUGACGCUGAGGUACGAAAGCGUGGGGAGCGAACAGG